AUGGUGUUGAGGAACGCGGCCUCCAUGUCUGCGGAGGCGCUUCUCCUGAGCAAGCACAUGGCAUACUCCAUCACCGAUGCGUCGCAGGGAAGCGUGAUUCUGUCACUGUCAACUCCUGCGAAGCCGAACUCCUCCUGGGACAUCCUCAAGAGCUCGCCGAAGACGGUCAUUCCAAGGAACACAAUGGGCACCAUCGGCAGCGUACACGACGCAUUAGCCAUUGCCAGCCACUGA
rnacentral:rRNA from 1 species